GGUGGGAUGGCCGAGUUGGUUAUGGCGCCAGGUUAAGGUCACCUUAACAUCUUAUCUCCUGGUUCGGAAACGAGCGUGGGUUCGAGUCCCACUCCCAUCA